UGAGGCUGGGAGAGUAGCCCCACCAUUUACCCUGGAAAGACCAUCUCUGGAGCAUUUGAACAGGAUUGCGGAGCAGAGCCCAUCGAUGCCAUCAACGGACCCCCAAGAGCCGCCUCUGUCUUCAAAAGAACAAGAGAUGUUCCGUGGCUUUACCUUUGUGAGCCCCAUAGCGCUCACCGCUCUGCCCGCACCUGCUGCCCGCUGAGAUUUCAACCAAGAUGAACAUCAACAUGGUUGAACAAUGGACAAUUGAUAACCACCAAUAAAUAAACAUUCAAUUUGU